UACGUAGGGGGCAAGCGUUGUCCGGAAUCAUUGGGCGUAAAGCGCGUGUAGGCGGCUCGAUAAGUCUGCUGUGAAAGUCCAGGGCUCAACCCUGGAAAGCCGGUGGAAACUGUCGGGCUAGAGUCCGGAAGGGGCGAGUGGAAUUCCUGGUGUAGCGGUGAAAUGCGCAGAUAUCGGAAAGAACACCAAGGGCGAAGGCACUCUGCUGGGCCGAAACUGACACUGAGAGACGAGAGCUAGGGGAGCAAAUGGG
rnacentral:rRNA from 1 species